rnacentral:rRNA from 1 species
AGGACGAACGCUGGCGGCGUGCUUAACACAUGCAAGUCGAGCGGAAAGGCCCUUCGGGGUACUCGAGCGGCGAACGGGUGAGUAACACGUGAGUAAUCUGCCCUUAGCUCUGGGAUAGCUCCGGGAAACCGGGAUUAAUACCAGAUACGACCACUUUAGACAUCUGCCGUGGUGGAAAGAAUUUCGGCUAAGGAUGAGCUCGCGGCCUAUCAGCUUAUUGGUGGGGUAACGGCCUACCAAGGCGACGACGGGUA